rnacentral:rRNA from 1 species
AGCGGCGGACGGGUGAGUAACACGUGAGGAACCUGCCUUUCAGAGGGGGAUAACGUUUGGAAACGAACGCUAAUACCGCAUAAAGUAUAGAUACGGCAUCGUGUCUGUACCAAAGGAGCAAUCCGCUGAAAGAUGGCCUCGCGGCUGAUUAGCUAGUUGGCGGGGUAACGGCCCACCAAGGCGACGAUCAGUAGCCGGACUGAGAGGUUGAACGGCCACAUUGGGACUGAGACACGGCCCAGACUCCUACGGGAGGCAGCAGUGGGGGAUAUUGCACAAUGGGCGAAAGCCUGAUGCAGCGAUGCCGCGUGGAGGAAGAAGGUCUUCGGAUUGUAAACUCCUGUCUUUAGGGACGAUAAUGACGGUACCUAAGGAGGAAGCUCCGGCUAACUACGUGCCAGCAGCCGCGGUAAUACGUAGGGAGCGAGCGUUGUCCGGAAUUACUGGGUGUAAAGGGAGCGUAGGCGGGGCGACAAGUCAGGUGUGAAAUUUAUGGGCUUAACCCAUAACCUGCAUUUGAAACUGUCGUUCUUGAGUGAAGAAGAGGUUGGCGGAAUU